rnacentral:rRNA from 1 species
CAGUCGCCGCGGGAAUACGAAGGGUGCAAGCGUUACUCGGAAUUACUGGGCGUAAAGCGUGCGUAGGUGGUUGUUUAAGUCUGCUGUGAAAGCCCUGGGCUCAACCUGGGAAUUGCAGUGGAUACUGGGCAACUAGAGUAAGGUAGAGGAUAGUGGAAUUUCCGGUGUAGCAGUGAAAUGCGUAGAGAUCGGAAGGAACAUCUGUGGCGAAGGCGACUAUCUGGGCCAUUACUGACACUGAGGCACGAAAGCGUGGGGAGCAAACAGGAUUAGAUACCCCCGUAGUCCCUGUCUCUUAUAC